UAUCUUUAGUGAGCCAUACUAUGACUGUUUCUGUCAUGGGUGCUAUUGGCGUCCCCUACUCCCACCCUUUCUCACUAAACAAAUGCUAGUCAGAUAAGUGAAAGGUAUAACUUCAGUGAAUAGAAUUGAGAUAAAUUGAAGGGAUAAUUAUGAAAUUAGAGGGAAUGCUACAAACAAAAAUACAGUGGACAAUAGCUGAGGUGGGGACUAAGAAGUUUCACAUAAAUGCAAACUCUACAUUUCAACAGCAAAUGACACAUUGGUGGCCUUAUUGUCCCCAAAGCCCAGUGUUUCCGCUGUGUUGUUCCACACUGCAUUUCUUGGCAUUUCUUUAUGAAAAGGCUGUUGUCUUUUUCUUACAGCUGUGCACUGGCAUCUACCCUCUGAACAAUGUCAGUGGGCCUGGGAAAUCAGAAUUUCGAAAUCCCAUUUCUAUGCUCAGGGUGGGUUGACCAGCUGGCCUGGAGGAAUUUCUGGCUGUGCCAACUUUAAACCUUCUGAUGUGCCAGCUUUAAAUCUUCCACCAUCUUGUAGAUGGUGAUUACCAAGUGCUAGCUAAUUAGGAAUUCACUUGCGGCGUUCACUGAUGGGAGAGAGUGAUUCUCCCAAAGCAGGUGGAUGGCCAAAUUCAAGCCUGAGGACCCAAAGGGUAGAGUUAAUUGCUUUGAUCUCACCUUGCAAAGUCAAGAUAAUCAAAAUUAAAUGCCUUGCCUGCCUUAAAACUUUUCAGUGACUCUUUAUCACUGUCAAGAAUGGAGUCAAAACCCCUUAGCACGAUAUUCACUGCCCUUCGUAGACAGUCUCUGAUGAUGUCUCGAACCCCAUACCUUGCUGUGCUCCUACUCUAUCUUAGGGCAGGACUGGGAAGCCUGUGUUUCACUAGUAGGAAGUGGCUCAUGUCUUCUCACAUGCUGUUCCUCCUGCUGGAAAUGUCAUUACCCCCUUCCGCACUUCCUUUCCUCUUUGGAGACUCAGCCAAGUGUCACGUCUUCCAAAAGGCCUUCUCUGGUAUCCAUCUUUCCCUUUGCUCAGGUCUGGAAUGGAUCCUUGUUUCUGCUCCCAUAGCUUCCCAAACUUCCCUCUAAAACAGACUAGUUAUAGUCUUAUAAUUUUGGUUUCAGUUCUUUCUUUCUCACUGCAGUGUGCCUCACUGUGUGCCUUCCUGUUCUACAGAGACACCAGCAUUGCCCGACCCAUAGCAGCUGUGACUACAAGCAAAAUGCCACCGUUCUGCUUUCCAAACCUAUGAGAACUACCGGGGUAUCACAGAUGAGUUCCUAUGCUGGUUCAUUUGCUGUCCCUUGACACCUUCUGACAAGCUCAUGAUUAUAAAGUUGAAACACUCAAAUCUCUACCAGAGAACUAUUUUUUCUGGAUUCUAUGUUGCCCCUCCUUACCUAGGAUUGAACUGUCCCUCCAGAAUGCCUUGAUGAUCAUCUCAUAGAUGGGUGGGAAGCAGUGCAAAGUCAACAGAAUUGACCACUUGAGCUCACUUGAGACUCUGUGAAGAGGCUGCUCUUUGUCUACCAAUAAUCCCUUCUCUCUCUCUUAUAAACAACCAUAAUUUUAUGUGGGCAGCAACAAGCUGAGCCAGAAGACUACUUUUCCUAGACUUGCUUAUAGCGUGGAGUAGCCCAUGAAAUAUGAGUAGUAGUCAAUGGUGAAGUUUCCAGAAAGACUCUUCUAGGAGGUACUCCUUCUUGGUUUUGUUUCUUCCUCCUUCAGGCUGCCUAGAACACAGAUGUGAAGGCUGUACUGUGGCAGCCAUAUUGUGACAUGGAAGUGACUUUGGGAAUGGAGCCGAGGACUAAGAAUGGUGGAACAGAAAAAGAGAAGGAGACCAAGUCCCUGAUAACUUGGCACUAUUACCCAAGACCUGAACCACCUAGCUUCAGAUUUACCUUAUGAGAAACCAACUUCCAUUUUGCUGAAGUGACUGUUUUUUGAGUUCUCUGUUAUAUGCAAGGGAAGGUACUCAUAAAUGACGAAGACUCUUCAAGGCCAUUUCCAGAUUUGCCCAUCAUUACGACUUCUUUUCUGCUUAUCAAGAUUGAGUUGGACUAACAUCUCUGCCGUGACACUUUCUCCAGCUGACCCUGAUUCUCCCAAUCACCCCCUUUCCUUGAUGGCGCUCAAUCUAAUAUUCCCACUGUCUAAUUUUCCCCACAGACAGUGAGCAGGAGCACAUGAGUGAAAAUAACAAUGCUAAGUACAGGACUCACUUUCCCCUUAGAUAUCAGCACACUACAAUGUAUUGAGUGGGUUUUCUCAAUAAAGACUAAAUUGAGA